rnacentral:misc_RNA from 1 species
AGAAGCGCUUCCUGCUCAGGAAAAAAGAAAACGCGGCAAACAUAGUCACUCGCAUUACGCAGCAGCCAGCCUCUCUCUCUCUCUGCGUGUGCGUGUGCCUCUCGAGGACGCUUCUCGCUUACACCCCCCCCUCCUCCUCCCUCUCCUUCGAUAGAAGCGACUAGAGGCUCACUCACACACCAACCUCUACGCCAUGGAGCCUCUCUACGCCAAGAUGGCCUCCUUCGACAUGGAGGCGCUGACGCCGGCGCAGAAGUACGGCAUCCAGGCCGCGUUUCUGGGAAUCAUCUUUGUGAGCUUCGGUGUGUACAGCAGCGUCGUCAUCCCUGUCAUCGCGGCGGUGGUGAAGGGGCGCAUUCCCGAGCGUGUGAAGCCUCUAGAGAAGCUGACGGUGAAGGACAAGUUGUACGUUGGUUUUGCCAAGGCGGUGACCGCCGUCUUCGUGUACCACACGUACCAGUUCAUCCGCAACACAGAGGUGAGCCGCAUGUCACCCGACUUCCUGGACGGCCCUGCCGUGGUGCGGUCGGUGCUGUGGCUGCCGGUACACCUGCCGGCGCUCUUCAUUCUCUACGACUUCUUCUACACACUGUUCCACUGGACCCUUCACUGGCCCCCCAUCUACUCCCUCAUUCACAAGCAUCAUCAUCGGCAGAUGUCUCCCUUUCGCGGCAACACCGACGCCAUCAAUGAUAACCCAAUCGAGUACGUCUCGGGCGAGUACCUGCACCUGCUGGCGCUGUACCUGCUGACACGCUUGACGCCCGUGGGCCAGGUGCACGCACUGACGGCUAUCAUCUUCAUCUUUCUUGGCGGCACUCUCGCCAGCCUGAACCACACCCGCGUGGACUUACACAUUCCGUACUUGUUCAACGUGAAGGCACACGACUACCACCACCGGCAGCCGCGCGUCAACUUUGGGCAGUACAUCAUGCUCUGGGACUGGGUGUUUGGCACCUUCCAGGCCGAGGGGCUGCCCUCGGAGGAGUCGGCGAAGAGCCUCAAGAAGGCAGUGUGAAAAGUCGACAUAAAGUCGGACCAACGGCAGGCGCAGGCGGUUGUAGAGGAGGAGCGGAGAGCAAGGAGCCUUUUUUUUUUGGAUGGGUGGAGGGGGAGGGGAGGAGGCUCCCCGUGUGCGAUGCAGCGGAAGGGCCGAGGGCCCUACCGCCAUAUACGUAACCUCUCUGUGCCCCGCCGUCUCUGUCUCUUCUAUGCGCCUCUAGCCUUCACGCUUGCAAUGCCUUUUGUUACUUACCUUGUUUCUUGUUUCGCUGUGUGAAGGCGCACACACGUCAGCUCUCACAACCACGUGUCCGUGGACCGGCAGAGACACGCAACACAAAGAGAACAAGAAACUUCACCUUGUCCCUCCUUGUUUCUCCCUCGCGACCGUCUGCAGCGAGGCGGCGGCCACGCUCCUCGUGGCCUCGCCCAUUCCCCUUUCAGAAUGUGGCGCACAAGCCUAGUACGUUGAUGUGUAGACAUCAGAGGUGAGCCGCAGGUGUGCGUGGAAAUCGAAGACGAGGGGGUCAAACACCCGUAAAACGGAAGCAAAAUGUGGAAGCCCUCUUCGCCGAACUGCGAGCAGAAGACGAGCGCCAAGAUACCCGAGGCGGGCAAUCGGGUGUAUCUGUAUGUCUCCACCUGUGCAGUGGUGUGUGUGUGUGUGUGUGUGUGUCUUUGUUGCUUCUCUUCAUCUCUCUUUCCUUGGACCGGCAGUGCAUGUAGGAGACGUUGCAUUCCGCUGAAGAGACGAUGCCCAGGCAGGCAUGGUUGAGGCGGGCGCGCAUCGUUCGCGCACCCAUGCCUGUUGUACCGUGGGUCCUGUGUGACAGCCACGGCGCCGUCCUCUUGAGUGCCUGAAAAACACUUCCAGGUCGGCAGUGGCCCCUCCCCCCGCCC